CACAUCCCUACCAACGAUUGAUUCAUUUUACUUCGCGGUGUUAGUAACUUUUACGAUUGCAUUACUGGCAACCGCGAAGAAAAUGUAAAUAUAACAUUAUUAGUCUAAUUACCGAGUUGAUAAUUGAGUUGAACGACACUACUUUCCGAUAUUGAUUUCUUCAUAGAAGAAGGUCGAAUUAACCCGAAUUCGGGACAGCAAUGAUUCGUCCUCGUCUGCUGCGGGAGAAUUUGAAGACAUUACUUCAAUAAUAAGGAAACUGGGUACUUCGAAAUACAAAAACGAACCCUGUCGAGUCCUAGAUUCAUCUUUAUGCUAUUGGAUUUGGUCAAGGACAACGUCAUAAACGCUUUGCAGAUUGUGAUCGGUGGUUCGAUCAAUUGGAUGAUUUCCGGAUUCGUCACGACAGAGGUUCCGUAUCCACUGAGGCUGCGCGUCAAGUCAAUAUUGCAACGGGGCAUAGAGCAGGCCUCACCUAAUGCCGCCAGGGCUUCGUCAGCUUCGUGAUAUUUCCCGAUUGUGUUUGGCUGAGAAGUAAUUACACGCUGGUCCUGGGAGAGGAUAAUGCCGUGGAUCAGACCCAAUCGAUGCAGGAUCAGAUGUCUAUAGUUUAGAUAGUUCAAUGAAUAAUUUAAAAAAGUUAGUUGGUUCAAUAAAUGAACAAAUAUGCAUACAAAAGAUGAAUAAAUUAAAUACAAUAUAUGCAUUAAGGUUGGGUUAACAUAACAUGUUUAGGGUGUAUGUUAAAUCAACGUUGAACCGAAUGCUUCUACUGGGUUAUACUGGCCGAUUUAGCAUUUGUUUACCAUUCUUAUCGCGUAAUAUGUACGAAUCUGGGUCAUGCGAAUAGAAUCAAAUUGGUAGUCAAAAAGAAACCAAAGAAUGUCAAUAAUCAGGAAGGAAAAAAGUUUCUUUUCUUAAAAUAAACCACAUAGAGGAAAUAUCGUUAUGAAAGACAAAAAUAAUCUAAUUAAAUUAAAUGGAAGAACUACAUUUUUUCAUCAAUUAAUGCGAGCGUUUGAAAUCAUGAAAGCACAACUGACAAUUCGGUAGUUUUGCAGAAAUUAGUUUUGGUAUUUUCAGAAAUUUCAGUCUUAUUGACUUCAAAACUCCUCUAAACUU